UCCACCCCCUAAUCCCGCUUUCCGGCUCCCUAUUUAGAUGAGCAUCCCUUAUGCAUUUAGUGAAUCCUUCCUCUGUCGAGUCUCCGUAGGUAUCCGCUUUCUGAGAAGCGGCUUGUGCUUCCCAGAAACCAAAGGGAGCCUCGCUGGUUUGCAGGCUCGCGGGUGGGUGAGCCAAGGAGCCAGGGAAGGCAGUGCAUGACUAACCAGCGUGACACAGCGCCCAUGAGCACUCGACAGCCACUCAUCACGAGCAGCAGAUUGAAGGUUCCAAUUUGUGAUUCUGGGGAGUACUAGAGAAUGUGCAGGAUUCUUGAGAAUGAGUACAAACUGAGAACAUGAUAGAAAUGAAAAAUAUAAAAGGAAGGCUCAGAAAGAAAGCUUAGAAAAGAACAAAUGGUUAAGAAGAAAAACAGAAAUGGCAAUUUUCCAAAGAGGUGGUUGGCUUACAUUUUUUAAAACUGGAAACAAUGAAAAAGAGGAGGCUUGUGUUAAACAUAAUGCACAUAAAAUUCACAAGAAGGAUAUUACACAUUUGAUGUAAUUACUCAUCCAAACAAUGAAAACGUGCAAAACUGCUACUGGCAUCAAGCCUCUGUUUGUACAGCUCAAAUAAAAUCCCUGUGCUUUUACAUCUUUUCCUACAUGAAGACUGAACUACAAUGCAAGAUAUUUAGAGUGUGUGAGGACCCGGGUUUGACUCCUGCCCCAGGCCUUGUGUUGGGAAGCGUUGGGGAAGAGGGCUGCCAAGAGAUAUGCAG